rnacentral:rRNA from 1 species
AUACGGAGGGUGCAAGCGUUAUUCGGAAUCACUGGGCGUAAAGGACGCGUAGGCGGGUUGGCAAGUCAGAUGUGAAAUCCUACAGCUUAACUGUAGAACUGCAUUUGAAACUGCUAACCUAGAGUAUGGGAGGGGGAGAUGGAAUUAGUGGUGUAGGGGUAAAAUCCGUAGAUAUCACUAGGAAUACCGAAAGCGAAGGCGAUCUCCUGGAACAUAACUGACGCUAAGGCGUGAAAGCGUGGGGAGCAAACAGGAUUAGGAACCCUAGUAGUCC